UUGGAACGGAGCUAGAGAAGCCACAGGAACACAAAUUGGCGGAGGAUCUGAACAGGCAUCAUUGAGGUUGAACCUCGAAAAUAUUGAACAUCCAUGAUUUGGGGUGAAGGAAAGUGAGCACAGGCCGUCCAUGGCCUGAGAAGCAAUGGACUCCAGUGAGAACUGGUCGGAGAAGACGAUAGAGGCGGCUAGGGUUUCGAGUGUUGGAGAGUGUUUGAGAAAAGGGGAGGGUUCAGAAGCGGCUACAUGAGAGAAAUGAGAUUAGGG
rnacentral:lncRNA from 1 species